rnacentral:rRNA from 1 species
AACCAGACUCCUACGGGAGGCAGCAGUGGGGAAUAUUGGGCAAUGGGCGCAAGCCUGACCCAGCAACGCCGCGUGAAGGAAGAAGGCUUUCGGGUUGUAAACUUCUUUUAUGAGGGGCGAAAGAAAUGACGGUACCUCAUGAAUAAGCCACGGCUAACUACGUGCCAGCAGCCGCGGUAAUACGUAGGUGGCAAGCGUUAUCCGGAUUUACUGGGUGUAAAGGGCGUGUAGCCGGGCUGACAAGUCAGAUGUGAAAUCCGGGGGCUCAACCCCCGAACUGCAUUUGAAACUGUUGGUCUUGAGUAUCGGAGAGGCAGGCGGAAUUCCUAGUGUAGCGGUGAAAUGCGUAGAUAUUAGGAGGAACACCAGUGGCGAAGGCGGCUUACUGGACUGUAACUGACGUUGAGGCUCGAAAGCGUGGGGAGCAAACAGGAUUAGAUACCCCCGUACA